CACUUCCAGUGCAUUCAGCACCAAAAGAUCUCCAAAACGCUGUGGUGCCCUGCUCAAGACAAACCCUGCCCUGUGUCAUCUUGGGCAUCCACGCUGGAGAACUCCUGAGCUAACGCGUGCAGGAAAUCUGGCCCCGGGGUCGUGCCAAGAUCCCACAUGCAGAAAUGGCAUCAAGGCAGUAACGGGAAGGUGGGAGCUUCAUCUAGCAUAGGAAAGGUCUCUGGGGCAGGGGCUGCCCCAAGCCUGCCCUGCCUGGCCCCUUCCCACAUGACAUGCUGUGAUGGCAGCAGGAGGUCUCGUAUGGGAAUCGGCAGCAUCUCCACCAGCCUGUUCUGUUCUAGCCAGCCUGGCAUCAGUGAGCGUGAACUUGGCAUUGGGCUGAUUUUGGCUAUUGCUCUCUGGAAGCUGCACCGUGGUCACCUGGGGACAGGGUGUCCUGAUCUUACGGUCACCGACCUAGCGCUGAGAAAGUCAAAGCUCCCAG